GCGGUGAGCGAAACACCCAUUGGUCUUCGAAACCAAGGGUCGCAGGUUCGAAUCCUGCCGGGCGCA
rnacentral:tRNA from 1 species